rnacentral:rRNA from 1 species
CCUACGGGAGGCAGCAGUGAGGAAUAUUGGUCAAUGGACGAGAGUCUGAACCAGCCAAGUAGCGUGAAGGAUGACUGCCCUAUGGGUUGUAAACUUCUUUUAUAAAGGAAUAAAACGAGGCACGUGUGCCUUUUUGCAUGUACUUUAUGAAUAAGGAUCGGCUAACUCCGUGCCAGCAGCCGCGGUAAUACGGAGGAUCCGAGCGUUAUCCGGAUUUAUUGGGUUUAAAGGGAGCGUAGAUGGGUUGUUAAGUCAGUUGUGAAAGUUUGCGGCUCAACCGUAAAAUUGCAAUUGAUACUGGCAGUCUUGAGUACAGUUGAGGUAGGCGGAAUUCGUGGUGUAGCGGUGGAAUGCUUAGAUAUCACGAAGAACUCCGAUUGCGAAGGCAGCUUACUAAACUGCCACUGACAUUGAUGCUCGAAAGUGUGGGUAUCAAACAGGAUUAGAUACCCCAGUAGUC